AAAAAGGUACUCAAGGGCACAUAAUGGAUGCCUAGACGUAUAUUACCGAUGAAGGACGUGGAAGACUGCGAUAAGCUUCGGGUAGCUGUCAACAAGCUUUGAUCCGGAGAUUUCCGAAUGG
rnacentral:rRNA from 1 species